rnacentral:rRNA from 1 species
UACGUAGGUGGCAAGCGUUGUCCGGAUUUACUGGGCGUAAAGGGCGCGUAGGCGGCCAACUAAGUCAUACGUGAAAUCCCUCGGCUUAACCGGGGAACUGCGUCUGAUACUGGAUGGCUUGAGGUUGGGAGAGGGAUGCGGAAUUCCAGGUGUAGCGGUGAAAUGCGUAGAUAUCUGGAGGAACACCGGUGGCGAAGGCGGCAUCCUGGACCAAUUCUGACACUGAGGAGCGAAAGCCAGGGGAGCAAACGGG